rnacentral:tRNA from 1 species
GACGCAAUGGUUAACACAUUUGCUUGGUGAGCAAAAGGUUGCUGGUUUGAUUCCAGCUGGAGACA